rnacentral:rRNA from 1 species
GUGCGCUUCAGCUAAACGAGGCGCGGCAUACAGCUCAGUAACACGUGGCUAAUCUGCCCUUGGGACGAGAACAACCCCGGGAAACUGGGGCUAAUUCUCGAUAGGUGAAGAACUCUGGAAUGAGUCUUCGCUUAAAAAGCUUCACGUUAUGCUCGUGAAGUCGCCCAAGGAUGAGGCCGCGACCGAUCAGGUUGUUGGUGAGGUAAUGGCUCACCAAGCCUUUUACCGGUGCGGGCCGUGAGAGCGGGAGCCCGGAGAUGGGCACUGAGACAAGGGCCCAGGCCCUACGGGGCGCAGCAGUCGCGAAAACUUUGCAAUACACGAAAGUGUGACAGGGCUAUCCCGAGUGCCAUCCGCUGAGGAAGGCUUUUACCCAGUAUAGAUCGCUGGGGGAAUAAGGAGAGAGCAAGUCUGGUGUCAGCCGCCGCGGUAAUACCAGCUCUCCGAGUGGUGUGGAUGUUUAUUGGGCCUAAAGCAUCCGUAGCUGGCUAAGUUAGUCCCUUGUUAAAUCCACCGAAUUAAUCGUUGGAUUGCGGGGGAUACUGCUUGGCUAGGGGACGAGAGAGGCAGACGGUAUUUCCGGGGUAGGGGUGAAAUCCUAUAAUCCCGGGAAGACCACCAGUGGCGAAGGCUGUCUGCUAGAACGCGCCCGACGGUGAGGGAUGAAAGCUGGGGGAGCGAACCGGAUUAGAUACCCGGGUAGUCCCAGCUGUAAACGAUGCAGGCUAGGUGUUUGGACGGCCACGUGCCGUUCUAGUGCCGCAGGGAAGCUGUUAAGCCUGCCGCCUGGGGAGUACGAUCGCAAGAUUGAAACUUAA